AUUGUGAAUCAUUAAAUGUGAAAAACUGGAAAAUAUUUAUUUUUUUUGACAGUUAUUUGAUUUAAAAUUAGUAGAGUACAUUCAAUUACUGAUAGGCGGAUCACGAGGUCAGGAGAUCGAGACCAUCCUGGCUAACACGGUGAAACCCCGUCUCUACUAAAAAAAUACAAAAAAACUAGCCGGGCGAGGUGGCUGGCGCCUGUAGUCCCAGCUACUCGGGAGGCUGAGGCAGGAGAAUAGCGUAAACCCGGGAGGCGGAGCUUGCAGUGAGCUGACAUCCGGCCACUGCACUCCAGUCUGGGUGACAGAGCGGGACUCCGUCUCAAAAAAAAAAAAAAAAAAAAAAAAAAAAAAAAAAACCCAAAACUAUAAAAACUCUAAAGAAAACCUAGGCAAUACCAUUCAGGACAUAGGCAUGAGCAAAGACUUCAUGACAAAAACAUCAAAAGCAAUUGCAACAAAAGCAAACAUUGACAAAUAGAAUCUAGUUAAACAAAAGAUCUUCUGUACAGGUAAAUAAACUAUUAUCAGAGCAAGCAGACAACCUACAGAAUGGGGAAAAAACUUUUGCAACCUAUUCAUCUGGCAAAGGUCUAAUAUUUAGAGUUUAUAAUGAAGUUAAGCAAAUUUACAAGAAAAAAAAAAAAAAAAACCUGAUACAGUUUGGCUUUGUCUGCACCCAAGUGUCAACCCAAAUUGUAGUUCCCAUAUUCCCCACAUGUCAUAAAAGGGACCUGGUGAGAAGUAAUUGAAUCAUUAGGGCUGUUACCUUCAUGACUUUCUCAUGAUAAUGAGGGAGUUCUCAGGGAAUCUGAUGGUUUGAUAAGGGACUUUCCCCCAUUCUUAUUGGCACUUCUUGCUGCCGCCAUGUGAAGAAGGAUGUAUUUUCUUCUUCUUCCACCAUGAUUGUAAGUUUUCUGAGGCCUCCCCAGCUCUGCAGAACUAUGAGUCAAUUAAACUUCUUUCUUUUAUAAAUUACCCAGUCUUGGUUAUUUCUUAAUAGCAGCAUGAGAACUAAUACACAAUCCCAUCAAAAAGUGGGCAAAGGACAUGAACAGAUCCUUCUCGAAAAGAGAAUUGGCAAAGAAAGAUAUUAACAAAAGCUCAACAUCAUUGAUUGUUAGAGAAAUGCAAUCAAAACCACAUUGAGAUACCAUGCUGCCCACGUCAGAACAAUAAUAGAUGUUGG
rnacentral:lncRNA from 1 species